rnacentral:rRNA from 1 species
CCUACGGGAGGCAGCAGUGAGGAAUAUUGGUCAAUGGACGAGAGUCUGAACCAGCCAAGUAGCGUGAAGGAUGACUGCCCUAUGGGUUGUAAACUUCUUUUAUAUGGGAAUAAAAUGUUCCACGUGUGGGAUUUUGUAUGUACCCUAUGAAUAAGGAUCGGCUAACUCCGUACCAGCAGCCGCGGUAAUACGGAGGAUCCGAGCGUUAUCCGGAUUUAUUGGGUUUAAAGGGAGCGUAGGUGGGUUGUUAAGUCAGUUGUGAAAGUUUGCGGCUCAACCGUAAAAUUGCAGUUGAAACUGGCAGUCUUGAGUACAGGAGAGGUGUGCGGAAUGCGUGGUGUAGCGGUGAAAUGCUUAGAUAUCACGAAGAACUCCGAUUGCGAAGGCAGCUCACUGGACUGCAACUGACACUGAGGCUCGAAAGUGUGGGUAUCGAACAGGAUUAGAUACCCCUGUAGUC